rnacentral:rRNA from 1 species
AACGAACGCUGGCGGCAGGCCUAACACAUGCAAGUCGAGCGGACCUUUCGGGGUCAGCGGCGGACGGGUGAGUAACGCGUGGGAAUAUGCCCUUCUCUACGGAAUAGUCCUGGGAAACUGGGGGUAAUACCGUAUACGCCCUUUGGGGGAAAGGUUUAUCGGGGAAGGAUUAGCCCGCGUUGGAUUAGGUAGUUGGUGGGGUAAUGGCCUACCAAGCCGACGAUCCAUAGCUGGUUUGAGAGGAUGAUCAGCCACACUGGGACUGAGACACGGCCCAGACUCCUACGGGAGGCAGCAGUGGGGAAUCUUAGACAAUGGGGGCAACCCUGAUCUAGCCAUGCCGCGUGAGUGAUGAAGGCCUUAGGGUUGUAAAGCUCUUUCAGCUGGGAAGAUAAUGACGGUACCAGCAGAAGAAGCCCCGGCUAACUCCGUG